GAUGAACGCUGGCGGCGUGCCUAAUACAUGCAAGUCGAGCGAACAGACGAGGAGCUUGCUCCUCUGACGUUAGCGGCGGACGGGUGAGUAACACGUGGAUAACCUACCUAUAAGACUGGGAUAACUUCGGGAAACCGGAGCUAAUACCGGAUAAUAUAUUGAACCGCAUGGUUCAAUAGUGAAAGACGGUUUUGCUGUCACUUAUAGAUGGAUCCGCGCCGCAUUAGCUAGUUGGUAAGGUAACGGCUUACCAAGGCAACGAUGCGUAGCCGACCUGAGAGGGGGGUCGGCCACACUGGAACUGGGACACGGUCCAGACUCCUACGGGAGGCAGCAGUAGGGAAUCUUCCGCAAUGGGCGAAAGCCUGACGGAGCAACGCCGCGUGAGUGAUGAAGGUCUUCGGAUCGUAAAACUCUGUUAUUAGGGAAGAACAAAUGUGUAAGUAACUAUGCACGUCUUGACGGUACCUAAUCAGAAAGCCACGGCUAACUACGUG
rnacentral:rRNA from 1 species